GGUACAGUCUGGAUUUUGUUAUUAUUAUUAUUAUGAAGCAUUUCCUGAUUUAGUAUUUUGUAAAACAUUGUUCUCUGUCAUCUUCUGAUUGCUCAAUAAAAAGUGAUCAGACUAUUAGCUGAACAGGAGAGGAGAAGGUGGAAUUCCUGUAUUCAGAGAAAGAAAGAUGCUCAGGUGGCAGAUAGAGCUUCACCAUGAGGACACUGAUGGCCAGGAGCAGCCAGGGCAAGACUAAAAUGGCCUGACCGUAGGAAAUUGCAGAGGCUUCAUCUUGUAGGCCUUGUCCCAUCCCACAGCAGAUAUAAUGCAUAACCACCUGACAGACCCCCUUUGCUAAAGGGAAUUUCAGUCAAGGGUUCUGUCUGCAUGCAAGGUUGAAUAUGGUUGGGAACAUACUGCUUACAACUCAGUACACUCAGGAAUGUGCCUGCCCUGGAUGAAGAAAUGAGCUCACUGAACAAAACUAUCCUUCCAUCCAUUGACCAGGGAGGUGGUCACUAGAUUUCACCAGAGAAAAGGAUUUUGAUGGUCUGCUUAUGUGCUGUGGGUAAAUAAACCUGUUUCCACUUUUAUGUCCUGCUGAAGCUUGCACUGGUUUUGCACUCAACCAAAAUAUAAGCUGUUGAGUUUAGUUACAAAUGGCUCUUUGUAAGUGGCCAGAUACUUACUUGCCAUUGGAAAAGGCAUAUGCUCCAGGCCAAAGAUUGGAUCGAAGGACAGCGAUGGCAUACUGCGGAAUGAGAUUUGAGGACAGCCGUGUUGUCCAAGAGGGUAUAUUCUGAACCUCUGGAACCCAAUGAGAAAUUUACAAACUUAACUCCUAAUCAGAUAAUAAUCUACUGGUAACUGAAGUGAUUUUUAUAAAUAUGAAGCAAUCAACAACAUUUGUUAUAAAAAAUUAAAAACAGCUUGAUAUAAAAUCAUGAAUAUUUUAUGAAUAUUCCCAAUCUAUAUAAUUUUAAGAUGUACAUGUAGUACACAUAUAUACAUGCAUAUAUGUUAUGUAUAAAUGUAUAACAAAUAUGCAUAAAAAUUUUUGGAACAAAGACUUUACUAAUGCAAAGAUGGUUUGUGUAGUCAGGGGGAAGAGUAUGAUAACCAAAGGAAAGAGACUAAUGAGUUGCAAGCAAAACAAUAUAGGAAAAAAUACAGAAAUGAGUGUAGGUUAAGAGGCAACUACAGACCUCAUGUAUUCUCUUACUGUAGCUGUGCUAUGUGUGGUACACACAAUACAAGACAAGAAUGAUGCUAACCUUUCCAGUUACAGCCCAUUUAUAUUUGCUCUGUGCAUGACCCCUUCAGAUCCUUUCAUGGCAUAUUAGUGUAGCCAAAGCAUUCUUUACUCCCGACCUUCCAGAACUCAGGAAGGAGAGAAGGGAUGAGACCUACCUUCCUGCCUACAUUUUUGAGUCUCCAAUGGUGGCAUAUUUACUACACAAUGUGUGUAACAUAAUGUUUCUGAAUCCCUCAUUAACAGCAGUGUAAAUUUACCCAAGUCUUCAGAGAUUGGUGUCAAAAGAGGAGGCCCCACUUCCUGCUCUAUGUAGUCAGGCUCUUCCCCCUUUUCUUCAUCUUCUUCCUCUUCCUCUUCCUCAUCCUUUUGUGUAGGGUUGAACCAAUUACAGCGACCCUGGAGAUGAAUGUUGCAAGGUUUGAUAUAUUAACGAGAAUCUCAGAAUAUUCAUAUUAGUUCAUAGUUAUCAAAAUGAGACUUCUCUGAGAGAGAAAUGGGUCAGCCAUUCUGACACAGAGUCAUUUUAUAUGAUCUCCCUGAUUCAGCUUUCAGAAUGACAGAUUUGCUGACAUCACCACACACCACUUAUUCAUUCUCUAUACUUUUGUCAAGUAUUAAUUCUAUCUAGGAAUUAAUCUAGGUUACUACAAGAAACACAACAAACCUAUACUAGUUAUGUCAAAAUUUUUCUGUUUCUUGGAGCUACAAACUAUAAGGUCUAUACAAGCUUUAAU